ACGUGGUGUCUGCUCUUCAGCAUUGCUGCCUGCAGGAAACCCUGGGGACUGAGGACUCAGCAGAAGUGGAUGCUCCCAGUCCUGGUGUCCUGUCUCAACGUCUCAGUCAUGAAGAAUUGACUAUUGUACUGUAAAUGUGAGACUGCGGGACUGAAAUUGCGUUUGCUGGCUCCAUCGCCCCGCGCAGUGCGUCCCUCCAGAGGGCAGCAGAGCGUGGCAGCUCUGAGAGAUUCGUGGAACUGCUGAGGGGUUCAUAACGAAACAGCGUUGUACUGUUUACCAUAUAUAGAAUGACGCUGGGUUACUGCUUCCUGAAGUCAUAAAUGAAACUUUCCCUGCCUCUGAAGGUUGUAUAGUUUUGGUGAAAAUCACCUUACAGGAUUUGGAAUAGUUUCAUAA